rnacentral:rRNA from 1 species
UGGGGAAUAUUGCACAAUGGGCGCAAGCCUGAUGCAGCAACGCCGCGUGAGGGACGACGGCCUUCGGGUUGUAAACCUCUUUUGGCAGGGAAGAAGCGAAAGUGACGGUACCUGCAGAAAAAGCACCGGCUAACUACGUGCCAGCAGCCGCAGUGAUACGUAGGGUGCAAGCGUUGUCCGGCAUUAUUGGGCGUAAAGAGCUCGUUGGCGGUUUGUCGCGUCUGCUGUGAAAACCCGAGGCUCAACCUCGGGCCUGCAGUGGGUACGGGCAAGCUAGAGUGCGGUAGGGGAGAUUGGAAUUCCUGGUGUAGCGGUGGAAUGCGCAGAUAUCAGGAGGAACACCGGUGGCGAAGGCAGAUCUCUGGGCCGUAAGUGACGCUGAGGAGCGAAAGCAUGGGGAGCGAACA